UGCGCCCUGAGGUAUUUGCCAGUCAGCAUGUCCUCGAGCCGAUAAUACCGCUUUGGGGGUUACUGCUAGCGCCUGUGUGCAAGCCCGGUUUAGCCGGGAAGCCUUCGGUGCUUUCGGUGCCGCCACCUUGAACCUUUCGGUUCGAGGCCGCACGACAGCGGUACCCUGGGGCGCAC
rnacentral:other from 1 species